GCUGCGUUUGGGUGCAACACGAGUUGAGCUCUGAGACUCACGAUUUUUUGACGAGUCCACGCGUCGCGUACAACUGCAAAACAGCCAAACAAACAUACAACAAGUCUAACAAAAUUGCAAAAAAAAAAACCAAACAAAAUAAAACAAAAGAAAAAUAAAUAAAAACAAAACAAAUUGAAGACAAACAUCAACAUAAAUAGCAAACGCCGCUGAGGGCAAAAGUCGCCGAAGGCAAAAAUAAGGAAAAACAGCAAAAUAUCAUAAAUAAAUAAAAAGCAAAAAGAAAGAUAAACAUAAUCGAAAUCGAAAUCAGAAAACAAAAAUCAAAAAUCAAAAAAUUCCAACAAGACAUUGGACAGGUGUCAGCCAGCGCAGAAACGGAUUUUCAUUAAUCAAAAGCUACCAGUUGAAAAGUCAAGCUAUACAGUCUUUACGGUGAUGUGAUUGAAGUUCAAUAGCCAAACAAGCCGACGUCAAGCAUAAGGUAAGCCGCAAUCGAUUUUGGCAUUAAAUAGCAAUUAAGUGUACGCCCACAACAACAACAGCAACAACAACAAUGGCAACAACAAUGGCCAUAGACGCAACUCACUUUUCGUCUAAGGCCAGAGAAA